rnacentral:lncRNA from 1 species
GGAAGAUUGAGCUUCCUCCACCUCGAUUUGCCCCAGGUUCUCACCUAGGUCAAUUUAAACUAGCCAAAUACCAAGAAACAACCAUUUCUCAUGCUCUCUCUCCACUUCCUCCUCUCCACUACGCGUCCUUUCCGGAAGAUCGAGUAUCAAAAUAGCUCAAGAAUUGGGGAUGCAGGGUCCCCGCCCCGGUGCUUACCUUCUUUGCGGCUUACACCACCCCGGUGGCUAGAUCCUGGUGAUAAACACUUGCAUUUCCCAAAGUUAACCCAGUAUACCAACCCGGAGCUUGCCAAGAGUCUAUUCCAGCCUACACCGCUAGGAAGCCAACUUCAGCGAGCUCAAUGAGGGGACCAAACUGGGGCUCGCUCUCCAAACGCUCCGCUCCAAAAUCUGACUCUCUCUCCAGCCCCGAUCUCGGUGUGAGCCGAACCUCGGAAAAGACGCUUUUUAAGGGCGACACCGGGUUGGCUUGACAGCGAGGAAAAGAAUACCUGGAUGAAGUACUACCACCUCGGACAAAUCCGCUGGCUCUGUCCAAGGUGCUGAAUGGACUCUGCUCUCCGGGAUCACACACCCGGCGCAGGAGGAGGAAAAGAUGCAGGAAGGUAAUGUGUCUUGUUUGAAGUCAUCAUGUGAGAAGUUCGGCUUUGCUCAGUGGAUCGCCCACCACUUGGUGUGACUUAUGAAUCUAAUAACCCUUCGCAAUAUCCGCAAAGCUUCAACUCUCAUCCACCUUGGCGACUACAGAAGACAAAGCAACUGGCAUCGAUGUUGAAAAACCUAUAGAUUUACGCAAACGCCCUCAUUCUGAGAGACACGUUUCCCUUUGAGUUCUUACGUGAUUCUAAUGAAUGAGCGAGGUUACCAAUGACUGUCCAAUUGCCCUGCUAUAUAGCGGGCGUUUCCUGAAGCAGCUUUCUCAACGCCUGUCACUGAGCCCUAGCACAAAAAGUUCCCAGAGAAAGUGAGGGAGUUUCAGAGUACCCCCAUAAAAAUAAUCCAAUUUGCACGCCGAUCCUUUGCCCACUGCUCAGGUCACACCUGGGGCUCUGGCAAAGAUGAGCUCGGCUCAGGAGAUUUCCCUGUCGCCAGUGUUUUCUUCUCUUAUUCAUCACCUCAAGAUUGCUAGUUACAAUCCAUGCAGGAAAGUGGCCACUGAGAAGCUUCAGAUGGUAGCAAAGUUACUGACUUGGAGCCUAAGAAAACAGGCAAUAGAAGGAGAGGCAGAGAAUCACGAUGCACAAUUUGGAAAGCUUUCUGAAAACAAGAAUGG